rnacentral:rRNA from 1 species
UACGUAGGGUGCGAGCGUUAAUCGGAAUUACUGGGCGUAAAGCGUGCGCAGGCGGUUCGCUAAGACAGAUGUGAAAUCCCCGGGCUUAACCUGGGAACUGCAUUUGUGACUGGCGGGCUAGAGUAUGGCAGAGGGGGGUAGAAUUCCACGUGUAGCAGUGAAAUGCGUAGAGAUGUGGAGGAAUACCGAUGGCGAAGGCAGCCCCCUGGGCCAAUACUGACGCUCAUGCACGAAAGCGUGGGGAGCAAACAGG